rnacentral:lncRNA from 1 species
GUCGAACUUGCAACCUCGUGGUUAUUAGUUGGAUUUGUUUCUGUUGCGCCACCAUGGGAACUCCUAUUUUAUUUUUAAUUUAACUUUUGUUGAGGUAACAUUGGCUUAUAACAUUAUAUAAGUUUGAUGCGGACAACAUUAUACUUCUUACACUACAAAAAAAAAAAAAAAAAAAAAAAGAAGUGUUUACUGAGAGCCUGCUCUAAGCCAGCCACUGUUUGAGAGGCUAGAGGCUCAGAAAUGAGUCCCUGAAAGAGUUUGUAAAAAUAACCACAACUUCCUCUCCUUGCGUUUAGGACCAAGUGAUGUUGCAGGUCCUUCCAACUAAGAAACAGAAUCUAUUUUCUACCCUUUGAAUCUGGGUCGUUCAAUGGUAUUGUCACAAAUGUGACUCAUUCAGAGCCCCGUCUUUCAUGCAGCCUCGGAGGGUCAUUCGUGGUACAGCAGGAGUCGGGAGGCAGGGGGUUGGCCCAGGCUCAUCGACAACUAGCUGAUUUAAAGAGUAUAAUGCAUCCUGUAAGUAGUUACUUUGAUCUUUUCUACCCAUAAUUAUGCUUGUCAGAAAAUAAGGGGGGAAAUCACUGCAAGUCAAAACUUUUGCUGAAAGAUAAGAUGUUAUGAUCUGCUGCUAAUUACAUUCCUGCAAUUAAGAAGUUGGGGCUGAUCGCUCAAAGCUUCCAAUACAUAAAAAUCAGCAGCCAUUUUAGUUGAAAUGCUACAUCCUGUGACCUGUUUUUAAUUGACUUUCCUCCUCCUCGCUCUUCAAAGCAGGACUCUGCCAAAGCCACCAGCUUCUGACUUUGAAGCUCCCUUGAAAUAGAGAGAAAAAACAAAGGCCAAAAGUCAAGGGCUUUCAACUGCAUAUGGUUUAGGCCAAAUUUACAAAUGUCUUUUUUCUCCCCCCUGGUUUCUCAAUAGGUUACUUUUAGUGAGUUCUUUGAUCUAGAAAAACAAAAACAGAAACUACGACACUGCGUAUUGAUCAUGUUUAAAAAUUUUUUUUGAUAAUCAGUCUAGUCACAAGUGUCUGUUCUUUUAAUUUUUUC